AUAAAGUUUUAUUUUGGCUAAAAAAUUUAUUAUUUUUAUAGUUUAUAUGUAUGUUUUUGCAGGAAUAAUAAAAAUUCUUAAUGAAAAUUUAUUUUAAAUUAUUCGCAGUAUUUAAUAUUAAUCAUUAAAGAAAUUUAGAAUUAGUAAUAAAUAAUAGUAUAGGUUAAUUUUGUGCCAGCAUCCGCGGUUAUACAAAAUAUACAAAUAAAUUUUAUUAUUAUAUAGUUAAUUGUUAAAAUUAUAAAUUGGAUAUUAAAUUUUAAGGUAAAAUUUAAAUUUAAUUAGAAAUUUAUUAAAGAAAAUUUUAUGAAGCUAUUAAAAUUUAAUAAAAAACUAGGAUUAGAUACCCUAUUAUUUAAAAGGUUAAAAAGGUUAAUAUGGUAGUAGUAGUUAGAGUCUUGAAACUAAAAAAAUUUGGCGGUAUUUUAAUCUGUUUAGAGGAAUCUGUCCCAUAAUCGAUAGUCCACGAGAAAUUUUACAUAAUUUUAUUUAAUUUGUAUAUCGUCGUUAUCAGGAAAUUUUAUAAGAAUAUCAAAUUUUCUAAAAUUUUUAAUAGAAUUUAUUUCAGAUCAAGGUGCAAUAGAUAAUUAUGAGGAGAUGGAUUACAAUAAAUUUAUUUAUAAUGAAUAAUGAAUUGAAAAAUUUGUUAGAAGGUGGAUUUAAUAGUAAUUUAAAUAAAAUUAUUUAUUUGAUUAUAGUUCUAAAAUAUGCACAUAUCGCCCGUCGCUCUCUUUUUUAAAAAGAGAUAAGUCGUAACAAAGUAGAUGUACUGGAAAGUGUAUCUAGAAUGAU
rnacentral:ncRNA from 1 species